AAAGCUCAAAUUUGAAAUCUGGCGUCUCUGACGUCCGAAUUGUAAUUUGGAGAGGCAACUUCGGUGAUGGCGCCGUCCUAAGUUCCUUGGAACAGGAUGACACAGAGGGUGAGAUCCCCGUACCUGGGUGGCUGUCCAUCGCCAUGUGAAGUGUCUUCGACGAGUCGAGUUGUUUGGGAAUGCAGCUCAAAAUGGGUGGUAAAUUUCAUCUAAAGCUAAAUAUUGGCGAGAGACCGAUA
rnacentral:rRNA from 1 species